rnacentral:rRNA from 1 species
GGGAUGGCACGUGACCGGUCUACCACCGGGAUGUUCAUAACCCUUUGUUGUCCGACUCUGUUGCCUCCGGGGCGACCCUGCCUUCGGGCGGGGGCUCCGGGUGGACACUUCAAACUCUUGCGUAACUUUGCAGUCUGAGUAAACUUAAUUAAUAAAUUAAAACUUUUAACAACGGAUCUCUUGGUUCUGGCAUCGAUGAAGAACGCAGCGAAAUGCGAUAAGUAAUGUGAAUUGCAGAAUUCAGUGAAUCAUCGAAUCUUUGAACGCACAUUGCGCCCCCUGGUAUUCCGGGGGGCAUGCCUGUUCGAGCGUCAUUUCACCACUCAAGCCUCGCUUGGUAUUGGGCAACGCGGUCCGCCGCGUGCCUCAAAUCGACCGGCUGGGUCUUCUGUCCCCUAAGCGUUGUGGAAACUAUUCGCUAAAGGGUGCUCGGGAGGCUACGCCGUAAAACAAACCCAUUUCUAAGGUUGACCUCGGAUCAGGUAGGGAUACCCGCUGAACUUAAGCAUAUCAAAAGCCGGGAGAGAGGAUCAUUACAAGUGACCCCGGUCUAACC